rnacentral:rRNA from 1 species
CCAGGCUUGACAUGCAGUAGACCGCGCCAGAGAUGGCGCUUUCCUUCGGGACUGCUGCACAGGUGCUGCAUGGCUGUCGUCAGCUCGUGCCGUGAGGUGUUGGGUUAAGUCCCGCAACGAGCGCAACCCUCGUUCCAUGUUGCCAGCAGCACUUCAGGUCUUGCCUUCGGGUGGGGCCGGUGGCUGGGGACUCAUGGGAGACUGCCGGGGUCAACUCGGAGGAAGGUGGGGAUGACGUCAAGUCAUCAUGCCCCUUAUGUCCAGGGCUUCACGCAUGCUACAAUGGCCGGUACAAAGGGCUGCGAUCCCGUGAGGGGGAGCGAAUCCCAAAAAGCCGGUCUCAGUUCGGAUUGGGGUCUGCAACUCGACCCCAUGAAGUCGGAGUCGCUAGUAAUCGCAG